rnacentral:rRNA from 1 species
UUUUAAGUCCAAUCUGCCCAAUGCUUAAAGUAAAUAGCUGCAGUAUUUAUAACUGUACAAAGGUAGCAUAAUAAAUUGUUUUUUAAUUAAAAACUAGAAUGAAAGAUUAAAUGAAAUAUAUACUUUAUAAAAAAUACAAAUUUAAUUUAUUAUUUAAGUAAAAAAACUUAAAUUUAAUUUAAAGACAAUAAGACCCUUUAAAAUUUUAUUAUUAAAUUAUAUUUAAAUUUUUAAUUCAAUUAUCUAAAAUAAUUCAAUAAUUUAAUUGGGGUAAUUUAAAAAUUAAAUAAAUUUUUUUUCAAAAAGACAAAUUAUUAUUGAAUAAUAUAUCUUAAAAUUUAAAUUAUAAAAAUUAAUUACUUAAGGGAUAACAGCAUAA